rnacentral:rRNA from 1 species
UGAAUGUCCUAGGGGGUAUUGCACUUACCGAAGACUAUCAAACUCCGAAUGCCGUAUUCUUUUGCUUGGGAGUCAGACUAUGGGUGAUAAGAUUCAUAGUCAAGAGGGCAACAGCCCAGAUCGUCAGCUAAGGUCCCUAAAUGUAAGUUAAGUGGUAAAGGAUGUGGAAUUGCACAGACAACCAGGAUGUUGGCUUAGAAGCAGCCACUCAUUUAAAGAGUGCGUAAUAGCUCACUGGUCGAGUGAUUCUGCGCCGAAAAUUUCCGGGGCUAAAACUUACUACCGAAGCUACGGCAUCAUUAUGAUGGGUAGGGGAGCUUUCUAUGCGGCUUGAAGCAUGACCGUAAGGACAUGUGGACUGCAUAGAAGUGAGAAUGUUGGCAUGAGUAGCGAGAUGUGGGUGAGAAUCCCACAGGCCGUAAACCCAAGGUUUCCAGGGGAAGGUUCGUCCGCCCUGGGUUAGUCAGGACCUAAGCCGAGGCCGAAAGGCGUAGGUGAUGGACAACAGGUUGAUAUUCCUGUACCACCAAUAACCGUUUGAGAAAUGGGAUGACACAGUAGGAUAAGCUAACCGCACUGUUGGUUAUGUGCGGGCAAGUAUUGAGGCAGUUCCGAUAGGCAAAUCCGUCGGAAUAAUGCUGGGGUACGAUGCGGAGCGAAAUUUAGUAGCGAAGUAGCUGAUUUCACACUGUCGAGAAAAGUCUCUAUCGAGGUUAAAGGUGCCUGUACCGCAAACCGACACAGGUGGGUGAGGAGAGUAUCCUAAGGCCAGCGAGAGAACUGUUGUUAAGGAACUCGGCAAAAUGACCCCGUAACUUAGGGAGAAGGGGUGCCUUCGAAAGAAGGCCGCAGAGAAUAGGCCCAAGCGACUGUUUACCAAAAACAUAGGUUUCUGCUAAGUCGCAAGACGAUGUAUAGGAGCUGACGCCUGCCCGGUGCUGGAAGGUUAAGGGGAUCUGUUAGAGCAAUCGAAGCAGUGAACUUAAGCCCCAGUAAACGGCGGCCGUAACUAUAACGGUCCUAAGGUAGCGAAAUUCCUUGUCGGGUAAGUUCCGACCCGCACGAAAGGCGUAACGAUUUGGGCACUGUCUCAACAACAGACUCGGUGAAAUUGUAAUACCGGUGAAGAUGCCGGUUACCUGCGACAGGACGGAAAGACCCCAUGGAGCUUUACUGUAGCUUGACAUUGAGUCUCGGUGCUACAUGUACAGGAUAGGUGGGAGACUAUGAAGCAUGGACGUCAGUCUGUGUGGAGUCAUCCUUGGGAUACCACCCUUGUAGUACUGGGAUUCUAACCAGAGGCCAUGAAUCUGGUCUUGGGACACUGUCAGGUGGACAGUUUGACUGGGGCGGUCGCCUCCCAAAAAGUAACGGAGGCGCUCAAAGGUUCUCUCAGUACGGUCGGAAAUCGUACGAAGAGUGUAAAGGCAAAAGAGAGCUUGAUUGCAAGACAUACAGGUCGAGCAAGGACGAAAGUCGGACUUAGUGAUCCGGUGGUUCCGCAUGGAAGGGCCAUCGCUCAACGGAUAAAAGCUACCCUGGGGAUAACAGGCUGAUCUCCCCCAAGAGUCCACAUCGACGGGGAGGUUUGGCACCUCGAUGUCGGCUCAUCACAUCCUGGGGCUGUAGUAGGUCCCAAGGGUUGGGCUGUUCGCCCAUUAAAGUGGUACGCGAGCUGGGUUCAGAACGUCGUGAGACAGUUCGGUCCCUAUCCGUCGCAGGCGUAGGAAAUUUGAGGAGACCUGUCCUUAGUACGAGAGGACCGGGAUGGACGUACCGCUGGUGUACCAGUUGUUCUGCCAAGGGCAUGGCUGGGUAGCUAAGUACGGAAAGGAUAAGCGCUGAAAGCAUCUAAGCGCGAAGCCCACUUCAAGAUAAGAUUUCCCACCGCAAGGUUAAGAUCCCAGGAAGACUACCUGGUUGA